GAUGAACGCUGGCGGCGUGCCUAAUACAUGCAAGUCGAGCGAACGGACGAGAAGCUUGCUUCUCUGAUGUUAGCGGCGGACGGGUGAGUAACACGUGGAUAACCUACCUAUAAGACUGGGAUAACUUCGGGAAACCGGAGCUAAUACCGGAUAAUAUUUUGAACCGCAUGGUUCAAAAGUGAAAGACGGUCUUGCUGUCACUUAUAGAUGGAUCCGCGCUGCAUUAGCUAGUUGGUAAGGUAACGGCUUACCAAGGCAACGAUGCAUAGCCGACCUGAGAGAGUGAUCGGCCACACUGGAGCUGAGACACGGUCCAGACUCCUACGGGAGGCAGCAGUAGGGAAUCUUACGCAGUAGGCGAAAGCCUGACGGAGCAACGCCGCGUGAGUGAUGAAGGUCUUCGGAUCGUAAAACUCUGUUAUUAGGGAAGAACAUAUGUGUAAGUAACUGUGCACAUCUUGACGGUACCUAAUCAGAAAGCCACGGCUAACUACGUG
rnacentral:rRNA from 1 species